rnacentral:rRNA from 1 species
CAAUAGCGUAUAUUAAAGUUGUUGCGGUAAAAAAGCUCGUAGUUGGAUUUCUACCGAAGAUAGCCGGUCGGGUCUUCGACCUUGUAUCUGGUUUUGUCUUUGGUAUCCUCAUAGGGAACGUUUCUGCGCUUUAUUGCGUGGUGCGGUAUCUAUGACUUUUACUUUGAGGAAAUUAGAGUGUUCACGGCAGGCAAACGCCUUGAAUAUAUUAGCAUGGAAUAAUAACAUAGGAUCUUCGUCCUAUUUUGUUGGUUUCUAGGGCUGAGAUAAUGAUUAAUAGGGAUAAUUGGGGGCAUCUGUAUCAACGCGUCAGAGGUGGAAUUCUUGGAUUGCGUUGCGACAAACUACUGCGAAAGCAUUUGCCAAGGAUGUUUUCAUUGA